UAUCAAUAAGCGGAGGAAAAGAAACUAACCAGGAUUCCCUUAGUAACGGCGAGUGAACAGGGAUAAGCCCAGCACCGAAGCCUGCGUCCGUUUGGGCGUUAGGCAAUGUGGUGUUUAGGUUAUCGCUUUUGAGUGCGGCUCCGUUCCAAGUCCAAUCUUGAAUAUGGCUAUUUGACUGGCCCAGAGAGGGUGAAAGGCCCGUGUGGACGGAGUGGUGCUUGACCGCGUUAACUAUGGAGUCGGGUUGUUUGAGAAUGCAGCCCAAAGUUGGUGGUAAACUCCAUCUAAGGCUAAAUACUGGCACGAGUCCGAUAGCGAACAAGUACCGUGAGGGAAAGUUGAAAAGUACUCUGAAGAGAGAGUUAACAGUGCGUGAAACCGCUUAGAGGCAAACGGGUGUAGUCAAGCUGCGAGCUUUGAGAAAUAGGUGGGCCAGAAUGGCGUGAGUCUGAGCACAUUGAGCUGUUGUAUGGGUCCGUCUAUAUGGCGGGUUCGACCUGAAAGGGCCGGAUUUGCGAAGCGUCAUUUGGCGUUGCAAGCCUGUGCUUCAGUAGCUCUGCUGGCCCAUUCACUUUCUUUUAGCGUAUGUCACGACCGUCGUUGCUGUCGGUCUGCUCCGUCUAAACCGUUUCGCGAGUAGUCUUGUGCUUCUUGUGUUGCGGGGGCAGGUAGCUGGUUUGGCGCAAGCUGAACUAGUGUUAUUGCUGGGCGGAGUGGUACCUGUAACUGUGCAGUGCGGCGGGGCUGGCGGUGCGUUGUUGCCGGGUAGGCUUAUGUGCGUUGGCGUGACGUGAGUAUGGCUGCUUGUUGCUGUCUUUGAUGGCCUUGCGGUUGCUCUGUUGCGGUUGGCGUGUAGCUUUGCCUGGUCAAUCUAUGCGUUGUGCCAAUAGUCUGUGGCGUAGUGGUAGACGAUCCACCCGA
rnacentral:rRNA from 1 species